GACGAACCGUGCGAACGUUGUUCGGAAUCACUGGGCUUAAAGGGCGCGUAGGCGGGCGGCCGCGUCCGGGGUGAAAUCCCACGGCUCAACCGUGGAACGGCCUCGGAUACGGGCGGCCUCGAGGGGGGGGUAGGGGCGUGCGGAACUCUGGGUGGAGCGGUGAAAUGCGUUGAUAUCCAGAGGAACUCCGGUGGCGAAGGCGGCACGCUGGACCCCUUC
rnacentral:rRNA from 1 species